rnacentral:ncRNA from 12 species
GGCGCGGAUAGGGUAGCUCCCGAAAGCUGGAUUCCGCAUCCAGCCUUCCGCGUCACCGAAUAUGCGG